UCCUUUGUGGCUUUAAUACUUUAAAUUGAUUUUAGAAAGGAACUUGACCAAAGAGCCAUUAUUACUCAAGAACAAUGGUUCUUACACAUAAUGUGAAUCAUUUAAAAAAUUCUAGAUUUCUGAGACCCAGGUUCUGAGGUAGGACCUAUGCAAUGUGCUGUGAUUACAGAGGAUGCUGCUGUCAGCUAGACUUGUCCCUGCAGACAGCACAAACCUCCAAAUAUUUCAAAUAGAAAUUCCUGGCCAGAAGGCUAGUCGGUGAUAAGAACUAUGUUUAAAGGCCAAAAUAGAACAAAGCUAACCUCCUUCAUUGCAAACGCACAAGAUGCCAUUUAGAAAAACAUUGAUGCAAUCACCCUGGCCCUGUUAAAUAAGGGGACCCUAAUGUGGCCCGCGAUCAAACUCACUUCCUCAUUAAGAGCACAAGCCUAAGAAAAAUCAACUUGCAAAAAAAAAGAAAUGUAUUAGUCCAUUCUCAUGCUACUGACAAAGACAUGCCUGAGACUGGGUUCCUUUGUAAAUUCAUCAUUUGAGGGGAGUCCUGACGCAAGGAGUGGGAACUGAGAAAAGAGAAAACAGGAAAUACACGCCAACAAUAAAAAGCAGGCUUUCAAAUGAAGAACAGAACAUCCAAAAUUUCAGCAAUGAGAGAUGUAAAAUUCAUGGAAACACUGACUCACGAGGUCAGUUAGCCAUAGUUUAAUGUCUUUAGUUCACUCUUUCUUUCCCUUCCUCAAAAGGAAGAAUAAGGAGAAAAUAAAAACUUUUAUCCAUAGUAUAUAAUAUCAAAUGAAGUAUAUUUCAAAGCAUUGCACAGAAUUAACAUCCUUGCUACUUUAAUGCUGUAGUUAAUUGUCUGGCCUAUAUGAAAAACUGAAAAAUGAGAGAACAGUGAAAUGAAGCAGAUGCCAAAGGAUUCUGGAAUGAGAACAAAACACAUCAAUAAUCCAUGGGCAGAUUUUCAGAAGUUUACAGAUGAUAAUCCUGAAAUAUUGAUUCAGCAUUUGUUUUGUUUAGGACAGUCUUAAGUACUUAGAAAAAAAAAUCUUAAAAUAUAUAUGCCUAGUCAAAGAUUCAAAGAGCAAAAUGAAGCUAUUUAUCUCCAAUCAAUGUAUAAGCAUGUAAAUUUUUUUUGUAGGUGACUAGAUAAAGACAGAGAAAUCUAGAAAUGCCACAACCUUUUAAGGUUUUGAAUUGCAUUUCAGAGAGUCUGAUAGUACACAAUAUUCAGAAAUUAAAGAGACGGUUCCCUUCUACUUUCUUUUCAAUCGCUGCCUCAAGAACAGGGGACCUUUGUUACACUCCAUGGUAUACUGAGCAUAUGUAUGGGAAAUAUCCUGUGUGGCUUAGGAUGAAAUAAAUAACCUCCUGUGGUCACAAGCCACUCUGC
rnacentral:lncRNA from 1 species